GAUGAACGCUGGCGGCGUGCCUAAUACAUGCAAGUCGAACGCACAGCGAAAGGUGCUUGCACCUUUCAAGUGAGUGGCGAACGGGUGAGUAACACGUGGACAACCUGCCUCAAGGCUGGGGAUAACAUUUGGAAACAGAUGCUAAUACCGAAUAAAACUCAGUGUCGCAUGACACAAAGUUAAAAGGCGCUUUGGCGUCACCUAGAGAUGGAUCCGCGGUGCAUUAGUUAGUUGGUGGGGUAAAGGCCUACCAAGACAAUGAUGCAUAGCCGAGUUGAGAGUCUGAUCGGCCACAUGGGGCAUGAGACACGGCCCAAACUCCUAGGGGAGGCAGCAGGAGGGAAUCUUGCACAAGGGGCGAAAGGUUGAUGGAGCAACGCCGGGAGUGAGAUGAAGGCUUUCGGGUCGUACAGCACUGUUGUAUGGGAAGAACAGGUAGAAUAGGGAAUGAUUUCAGUUUGACGGUACGAUACCAGAAAGGGACGGAUAAAUACGUGCCAGCCGCCGCAGUAA
rnacentral:rRNA from 1 species